UACGUAGGGUGCGAGCGUUGUCCGGAUUUAUUGGGCGUAAAGAGCUCGUAGGUGGUUUGUCGCGUCGUCUGUGAAAUUCCGGGGCUUAACUCCGGGCGUGCAGGCGAUACGGGCAAUACUUGAGUGCUGUAGGGGAGACUGGAAUUCCUGGUGUAGCGGUUGAAUGCGCAGAUAUCAGGAGGAACACCGGUGGCGAAGGCGGGUCUCUGGGCAGUAACUGACGCUGAGGAGCGAAAGCAUGGGUAGCGAACAGGAUUAGAUACCCGGGUA
rnacentral:rRNA from 1 species